UUUAUAAAAGAACCGAGAUGCUUUAAAAAAAAUUCAUUUUGUCUUACGGUGAAUUUCCUUUAAAUCGGGUAAUGUCUGUUAUUCUAUGCAACACGAAACUCGAUUGCGACAUGGCAAAGGAAACGCGGAAUUAUUGCAGAACUUUUGUCUUUCAAACAUUUCGAGAAGGAACUCAAUUCACUUUUGGCGAGAUUUUCACUAGUUUCUAGACAGUGCCUUCGAGAAACAGACGUUGAUGGUCAACAGUAAUAUACAAGAACUUGAGGAUAAAAAUCACGAGGAAUGCGAUUUGUUUCAAAAGUACAUCAGCAACGAUGAUAUUUUGGAUGGCAUCGUAAGAAGAUGGUGGACGAGCUUACAGGAAUGAUUUACCAUCAAGCAUGCUUCCCGUCUCUCCGUCAGCAUCCUCUUCGUCGCUCCAUCAGCAUCCUCUUCGUCGCUCCAUCAGCAUCCUCUUCGUCGCUCCAUCAGCAUCCUCUUCGUUGCUUCAUACGCAUCCACCUCGUAACGCCAUCAGCAUCCUCCUCGUAGCACCAUCAGCAUCCUCCUCGUAGCACCAUCA